AUCCGAUUUAAAUUUACAAGGAAUCCUCAACUGCUCAGAGACAUCUAAAUCUGCCUCUGCAAGUUGUGAUUCUCAAUUCCCUUAAAAAAAAAUCUGAUUCUGAACAAUUUUUGCCCAGAUUUAAUUCUCCAUGCUGGUAGAUAAUCUUGUCUAUUUAUCAUCUUCUUAUGUAAUAACGGUCACUGCAGCUGCUAUUAUAUAAUAUGUGAGAAGAAAAUACAUGCAUGGAUUCAGAUUGUAUUUAAUAAUCUUAAUUAACCCUCUCCAACUGUUUCUAUAAAAUAAGGGUGUGCAGGAGAGCAUGCAUGUGGUUGGGAGUUAUUACAGCCUGAAAUCUUCAGGCCUAACUUCAAUGUUUGUUUUCUGAGAAAAUAAGUGAAAAUAGAGAAGAAACGAAGGGUACUUUUUUAUGGUACAUUAAUUAGAAAUUCAAAUUUCUUAAAAACUGAACUUUUUAAUUAUUAUGCACUAAGUGCUAACAAUUGUUUCUAACAGGAUUCUUGGAUAAUAUUCAUUCUGUUUAAUUCCAUCCAAUGAUGAGAAAAUUAUAAUUAAUAAAAUUUUAUUGUGGUGAAGGGUGCUGCCAAUUCUUUCUGUUUUAGUGAUUUGAGCAAAUUUCCUCAUCUUGUUUUGAUUUUUUGGCCACAGAUUUUGAUCAAUCUAUUGGA
rnacentral:misc_RNA from 1 species